rnacentral:rRNA from 1 species
AACGAACGCUGGCGGCAUGCCUAACACAUGCAAGUCGAACGAGACCUUCGGGUCUAGUGGCGCAAGGGUGCGUAACGCGUGGGAAACUGCCCUUAGGUUCGGAAUAACUCCCCGAAAGGGGUGCUAAUACCGGAUAAUGUCUUCGGACCAAAGAUUUAUCGCCUUUGGAUGGGCCCGCGUUGGAUUAGCUAGUUGGUAGGGUAAAAGCCUACCAAGGCGACGAUCCAUAGCUGGUCUGAGAGGAUGAUCAGCCACACUGGGACUGAGACACGGCCCAGACUCCUACGGGAGGCAGCAGUGGGGAAUAUUGGACAAUGGGCGAAAGCCUGAUCCAGCAAUGCCGCGUGAGUGAUGAAGGCCUUAGGGUUGUAAAGCUCUUUUAACCGGGAUGAUAAUGACAGUACCGGGAGAAUAAGCUCCGGCUAACUCCGUG